rnacentral:rRNA from 1 species
GACGAACGCUGGCGGCGUGCUUAACACAUGCAAGUCGAACGAAGUGGCGAACGGGUGAGUAACGCGUAAUCACCCUGCCCUUCUGCGGGGGACAACAGUUGGAAACGACUGCUCAUACCGCAUACUGAAGGUGGGGAUUGCGUCUGAUUAGCUAGUUGGAGGGGUAACGGCCCACCAAGGCGAUGAUCAGUAGCGGGUCUGAGAGGGUGAUCCGCCACACUGGGACUGAGACACGGCCCAGACUCCUACGGGAGGCAGCAGUGGGGAAUGUUGGACAAUGGGCGCAAGCCUGAUCCAGCCAUGCCGCGUGUCUGAAGAAGGCCUUCGGGUUGUAAAGGACUUUUGUCAGGGAAGCGGUACCUGAAGAAUAAGCACCGGCUAACUACGUGCCAGCAGCCGCGGUAAUUC